UGGGGAAUAUUGGACAAUGGGCGCAAGCCUGAUCCAGCAAUGCCGCGUGUGUGAAGAAGGCCUGCGGGUUGUAAAGCACUUUCAGUGGGGAAGAACGGGCCGAGGUUAAUACCCCCGGCUUCUGACGUUACCCACAGAAGAAGCACCGGCUAACUCCGUGCCAGCAGCCGCGGUAAUACGGAGGGUGCAAGCGUUAAUCGGAAUCACUGGGCGUAAAGCGCACGUAGGCGGCACGUUAAGUCAGCUGUGAAAGCCCUGGGCUCAACCUGGGAAUGGCAGUUGAUACUGGCGCGCUCGAGUCUGAGAGAGGGGGGUGGAAUUCCAGGUGUAGCGGUGAAAUGCGUAGAUAUCUGGAGGAACACCGGUGGCGAAGGCGGCCCCCUGGCUCAUGACUGACGCUGAGGUGCGAAAAGCGUGGGGAGCAAAACAGGAUUAGAUACCCUGGUAGUCCACGCGGUAAAACGAUGUCGACUAGCCGUUCGGUCCAUUUAAGGGCGGAGUGGCGCAGCCAACGCGAUAAGUCGACCGCCUGGGGAGUACGGCCGCAAGGUU
rnacentral:rRNA from 1 species